GGCGGAAGUGUGGUCCUGUCCGGCGCCGCCGCCGUCUAUUACAUAGCGCCCGACCCGGUGGCGUCUCCCCCGUAGCUGCGCCGAUGCGCUCCAGCCCUCGCACUCGUCGCCGCCUCUCCUACAAGGUGUGAAUGACAGAGGAAGUGCCCUCCACUGCACUCAGUGAGGUCAACAGGCGCCUUCUCUGCCAUGAUGACAUAGACACAGUGAAGCAACUCUGUGCCGACUGGUUCCCCAUUGAGUAUCCUGACUCAUGGUAUCGUGACAUCACUUCCAACAAGAAAUUCUUUUCCCUCGCUGCCACUUACAGAGGAGCCAUUGUGGGCAUGAUAGUGGCGGAAAUAAAAAACAGGACAAAAGUACAUAAAGAGGAUGGAGAUAUUCUAGCCUCCAAUUUUCCUGUUGAUACCCAAGUUGCUUACAUCUUAAGCCUAGGUGUGGUGAAAGAAUUUAGAAAGCACGGAAUCGGUUCCCUCUUACUGGAAAGCUUGAAGGAUCAUAUAUCUACUACAGCCCAAGACCACUGCAAAGCCAUCUACCUUCACGUCCUCACCACCAACAACACUGCAAUAAACUUUUACGAAAACAGAGACUUUAAGCAGCACCACUAUCUGCCCUAUUAUUAUUCCAUUCGGGGAGUCCUGAAAGAUGGUUUCACCUAUGUUCUCUACAUCAAUGGAGGGCACCCUCCGUGGACAAUCUUCGAUUAUAUUCAGCAUAUCGGGUCCGCGCUAGCCAGCCUGAGCCCUUGUUCAAUUCCUCAAAGAAUUUACCGCCAGGCUCAGAGCCUUCUUUGCAGCCUCUUGCCUUGGUCAGGCAUUUCUGCCAAGAGCGGAAUCGAGUACAGCAGGACAAUGUGACUUGCUGUGGAAGACCGCCAUCCCCUCCGGGAAAAGAAGCCAACGAGAGGUACCGAGCCCGGGGUGUCCAUUCACCCCCUCCCCGAGACCCUAGCAUCGGCUCGACGGCUUAUCCCAUCGUUCAUCUGUUGAAACUACCUAAUUCUGCACUGAUUCCUCCAAACUUGAGCUCCCUGUCCUCCAGAUCCUCUAUAAUGCCCGCCCUCCAUAAAUGAGCCAAGGCCAGGCUGCCGUUGAUCUCAAUUUGCCAUGCCUUUAACCUCUCCUCCAGGUGCAGGAGAGACUGACCUUUGCCCUCAUAUAGGGCAGCCGCCCAGGACCUGCCCUUCUACAGCCAGCCGGGGAGCAGCAGAGUCUCAUCACUGGAGCAGGCACGCUCUUUUCUGAUCCACUUGCUUCCCUUAUCGCUUUACCAAGUCCUCCACGUGGCCUCAGCCCCGAAUUAAUCGUCCGGCUGGACCCCAGAGCAGAUUGGAAGUGAGUACGUGGGGCAGAUGAGGAGAUUGCAAAACGCUUUUGCAGCACCCGUGUGAGAAACUGAACCCCACCUCCCCAUGAUGCCAUGGCCCCUCUAGUUGGCACAGCGGAGAGAAGAUGCUGACUUAGAAACCACCCUGACCCUCCCCAUGAGGCUACCCGGCCUGCCAAGUCACAGCCACCCGGAGUCCGUGGCUGCAGGUGGAGGCUUCUUAUGGCCGAGGCCUCUCUUGGUGGUCGGGCCCCGGAGCCUCUUGCACUGCCCCCAGCCAGCACAGGAUUUCCAGAACAAAUGGACCGGUCAUCCUCGGAUUCCUUUGGAUGGAAGACCGAUGAACCUGGGCUGGGAUGGUCUGACGACGAGUGAUAAUUCCACCGUUCUGUUUUUUUCCCAUCCUCGUUAGUAUCUGAUUUCAGUUAUGCCCUGGGGGGACAGGGAAUGAUACUGCUUUUUCUUACUGAAAUUCUUCUCUGUUUCUGAGCUAGUGUCCAAGGGCUGGAGCACAGUGGCUGAAUCAUUAGAGUUCCCAAGGCCAGGCCUUAAGAAAUUCUUUCCAAUUGUUUCCCUGUUGUUCCUUAAGGAAUUCUUUCUGAUUCUUCCCCUGUUGACCCUCUUCCUCCUCCUCCUCUUCCCCUUCCUCCUCCUCCCCCCCCCUCCUCCUUCCUACCUAGAGCUUCCUAAGGCCCUACGUGAAUCUUAGCCAGCAUGAACCGCCUUGCAAGUGGGAAGAACUGAAUGCGGUCACAAUUUCCAGAUUUGGAGCUACAGUGGCUAGAGAAAUGCCGGUGUGGGCUGAGGCCCCCCGCCUCAUUUCCCAGCCUCCGAGGAAGCAAAUUUCAGUUCCUCCAGGGCGGGUGGCAGAAAAGGCCGUGGCAGUAGUUCGACUGUUUCAGUACUGUAAAACGGGGCUUGCAGCAUGGCGUGGGCUUGCAGCAUGCUCAUCGGUUGUGUGCCCCUCUGACGUCCCCGUCCCUUAAAUUCUGCGCCCCUGAAGGGUGGCAGGACCAAAGGGCACAGGGUCAUCGGCAUUCAGUUAAACCACUGUAUAGUGUUACGAGUUCAACCCUCCCUCCAGCGUGUGAACAACCCGCUCAGGUGUAAACCUCGACUCUAGGAUUUCCCAGCACCUGACUCCCCCCACCCACCCUCCCCGCAUGCUCGAAAGAGAUCGAUUGGACCUCUCUGCCCCUGUUUUUCUCAUUGUCCCGGUGGUGGGAAAGGUGUAUUAUAGAGAGUUCUUUAGAUGAAGGUUCUAGCCUGCACCCUGUUGCCCCCCUGCUUUCAGGCACUGCGGAGGUAACUGGCAUUUGUAAAUGCCACAUUCACGGUCACGGUCCCAUUCUAAACCCGUCCAGACUUCUGCGAUAGCUGGCCAGGUGCUCUGAGGUCCUAACGUGCCCUCUUAUUUAAUAAAUCCAGAUUACCCUCUGGUUUGGGUUUUUUUCUUUUGGUGAUGGGGGUGGGGACGAAUGUUCCCGAUUCUAAUAUUUGCCCUUUAAUGUUUAACCAUUCAGCAUUCAAUCAAAAAGGGAAUUGCCCCCGUGCCUACCCCAUCACCGUAGAGUUUAACUCAGUGUUGAAUGGACGGUAGUAUUUUGUCUGUCUUACUACAAAAAAUUAAUAAAAUCUUAAGUCAAUCAGA